rnacentral:rRNA from 1 species
UCCGUAGGUGAACCUGCGGAGGGAUCAUUGCUGGAACGCGCCCCAGGCGCACCCAGAAACCCUUUGUGAACUUAUACCUUACUGUUGCCUCGGCGCAUGCCGGCCCCCCUGGGGGCCCCUCCUUCUGGAGGAGCAGGCACGCCGGCGGCCAACCUAACUCUUGUUUUUACACUGAAACUCUGAGAAUAAAACAUAAAUGAAUCAAAACUUUCAACAACGGAUCUCUUGGUUCUGGCAUCGAUGAAGAACGCAGCGAAAUGCGAUAAGUAAUGUGAAUUGCAGAAUUCAGUGAAUCAUCGAAUCUUUGAACGCACAUUGCGCCCUCUGGUAUUCCGGAGGGCAUGCCUGUUCGAGCGUCAUUUCAACCCUCAAGCCUGGCUUGGUGAUGGGGCACUGCCUGUAAAAAGGCAGGCCCUGAAAUUCAGUGGCGAGCUCGCCAGGACCCCGAGCGCAGUAGUUAAACCCUCGACUUUGGAAGGCCCUGGCGGUGCCCUGCCGUUAAACCCCCAACUUCUGAAAAUUUGACCUCGGAUCAGGUAGGAAUACCCGCUGAACUUAAGCAUAUCAAUAAGCGGAG